rnacentral:tRNA from 1 species
UCUUCGGUAGCUCAAGUGGUAGAGCGGUUGACUGUUAAUCAACCGGUUAGGGGUUCAAACCCCCUCCGAAGAU